UACGGAGGGUGCGAGCGUUGUCCGGAAUCACUGGGCGUAAAGGGCGCGUAGGCGGCAUGCCAAGCGUGUGGUGAAAGCCCGGGGCUCAACCCCGGGUCGGCCGUGCGGACUGGCGUGCUCGAGCACUGUAGGGGCGGGUGGAAUUCCGGGUGUAGCGGUGGAAUGCGUAGAGAUCCGGAAGAACACCGGAGGCGAAGGCGGCUUGCUGGACCUGGUCUGACGCUGAGGCGCGAAAGCGUGGGGAGCGAACAGG
rnacentral:rRNA from 1 species